rnacentral:rRNA from 1 species
UCUUCCAAAAAGCGUUAAAGCUUGACACCCAAUUAUACCUCUAAUUUCUAAAACACCUCUCAACCCUUCACUACUACUGAAUUAUUUUAUACUUUUAUAAAAGAUAUAAUGCUAGAACUAGUAACAAGAAACUGUUUUUCUCCAAAAUGUAAACAUAAACCAAAAUGGACCCACCAUUGGAAAUUAACGUAAAUGAUAAAAUCAUAAUAACCCCAAACUAGAAUAACCUAUGACUUAUAACGUUAACCUUACACAAGAACAUUAAAGGAAAGAUUAAAAGAAAAAGAAGGAACUCGGCAAACCUAAGCCCCGCCUGUUUACCAAAAACAUCGCCUCUUGUCUAAACAUAAGAGGUCCAGCCUGCCCAGUGACAAAAAUUUAACGGCCGCGGUACCCUAACCGUGCGAAGGUAGCAUAAUCACUUGUUCUUUAAAUAGGGACUUGUAUCAACGGCAUCACGAGGGCUUUACUGUCUCCUUUCUCUAAUCAGUGAAACUGAUCUUCCCGUGAAGAAGCGGGGAUAAAUCUAUUAGACGAGAAGACCCCAUGGAGCUUUAAACUUAUUAUACACCUCUAAUUACCUAAAUCACUAUAAUUUAAGAUGUUUGUAUAUUAGCUUUAGGCUGGGGAGACCGCGGAGUAAAAAAUAACCUCCAUAACAAAAAGGCUUCGCCUUUAUCUAAAAACUACAAAUUUAAGAAUCAGCAAACUGAUGUUAAAUGACCCAAAUAUUUGAUCAAUGAACCAAGUUACCCUGGGGAUAACAGCGCAAUCUACUUUGAGAGCUCAUAUCGACAAGCAGGUUUACGACCUCGAUGUUGGAUCAGGGUAUCCUAGUGGUGCAACCGCUACUAAAGGUUCGUUUGUUCAACGAUUAAAAC